rnacentral:rRNA from 1 species
UACACACCGCCCGUCAAGUCAUGGAAGUUGGUUUUACCCGAAGGCAGUGCGCUAACCGCAAGGAAGCAGCUGACCACGGUAGGGUCAAUGACUGGGACU